AGAACGAACGUUAGCGGCGCGCCUAAUACAUGCAAGUCGUGCGAGAAAGGGCUUCGGCCCCGGUACAGCGGCGCACGGGUGAGUAACACGUAGGUAAUCUUCCCUCGAAUGGUGGAUAACCCUCCGAAAGGAGAGCUAAUACAGCAUAAGACCACGACCUCGUUGAGGUUGCGGCCAAAGCAGGCCUCUACUUGUAAGCUUGCGUUUGAGGAUGAGCCUGCGGCCCAUCAGCUAGUUGGUAGGGUAAUGGCCUACCAAGGCUAAGACGGGUAGCUGGUCUGAGAGGAUGAACAGCCACACUGGAACUGAGACACGGUCCAGACUCCUACGGGAGCAGCAGUAGGGAAUCUUGCGCAAUGGGCAAAGCCUGACGCAGCGACGCCGCGUGAGCGAUGAAGGCCUUGGUUAGUAAGCUCGUGUGGGAGGAAGAAGUAAGGAGUUGGACUAA
rnacentral:rRNA from 1 species